GAUCUGGCUCAGGAUGAACGCUGGCGGCGUGCUUAACACAUGCAAGUCGAACGAAGCACUUUAACCUGAUUCUUCGGAUGAAGGUUUUUGUGACUGAGUGGCGGACGGGUGAGUAACGCGUGGGUAACCUGCCUCAUACAGGGGGAUAACAGUUAGAAAUGACUGCUAAUACCGCAUAAGACCACGGAGCCGCAUGGCUCAGUGGGAAAAACUCCGGUGGUAUGAGAUGGACCCGCGU
rnacentral:rRNA from 1 species